rnacentral:rRNA from 1 species
UUAGGAAUCUUCCACAAUGGGCGAAAGCCUGAUGGAGCGACGCCGCGUGAGGGAUGAAGGCCAUAGGGUUGUAAACCUCUAAAAGAGGGACGAUAAUGACGGUACCUCUUGAAUAGCACCGGCUAACUCCGUGCCAGCAGCCGCGGUAAUACGGAGGGUGCAAGCGUUAUCCGGAAUCACUGGGCGUAAAGGGCGCGUAGGCGGUCUGUUAAGUCCGAUGUUAAAUCCCGGGGCUCAACCCCGGGUAAGGGUUGGAUACUGGCAGGCUGGACGGUUGGAGAGGCGAGUGGAAUUACCAGUGUAGCGGUGGGAUGCGUAGAUACUGGUAGGAACACCCAUUGCGAAGGCAGCUCGCUGGACAACACGUGACGCUGAGGCGCGAAAGUGUGGGGAGCAAACC